rnacentral:rRNA from 1 species
AUGCUGCAUUUUUUUGCGGCAAGAAGUGGAUCGUUGGAGGACAGAACAAGAGGGAGGAGGCCAACAAAUACAUCAAACAAAUACAAAUACAGAGUUGUUCUUCCACAGCUUGCUCGACUGGAUCUGCCAACCCUCUUCUACCGUUUUUCCUCCUCCGUUUCUGCACGGGGUAGCUCCGCACCUGCACCUUCUGGUUCACUUGCAAGACGACUGGCUAGCAAGAGGAACGCCAAGAUGACGAGGCAAGAGGUUGGAGAAGUUCUAGGCAGAAGAUGGAAGACGUCCAAGGUGAGACAACUAGGGAGGACGGUGUCGGGGGAUGGGGCCGUGGACCGCUGGGCGGCGCGCCUGGGGGCUGCCGGUGGACGCCGGCGCUCAUGUGCUGGGAUCGAGGGGUGGGUGCAGCGCGGCGGCCAGACCAAGGCACAGGGUGACGCGGCGGCCGGACCCAGUCGCGGGGCGACGUGGCGGCCGGACCCAGGAGUGGGGCAACUCCAGCGCGGAUGGAAGGUGGUCGGGAGCCGCCAAAGUGGAGGGCGGAGCGGGAGGGGGUUAGCCGCGGCAGGGGAUCAGGCCGCCGCCGUCCCCAGCGGAUCCCUGGCGGGGGAGCUGGACGCCGCAUGGUGGCGUCGGAUCUGGGGAGGCACCGCUGGUCGGGGAGGAGGCGGUGUCGGCGUUGGGCGGGGCGAGGGCGGCGGCACCGGUUGCGGGCGGGGCGGCGGCGGGGAUGCGGGAAGGUGGGAAUCGUGGGGUCGGGGGUGGGAGGUUGACCAGGUGUGCGGUGUUUUUUUACACGGCUGUACUGGUUCGGGAACAGCCUAUUCUGAUAUAUAUAUCUGGGCACCUUGCUCAAGAAUGGUACUCCCUCCUCCCAAAAUUUUUGUCUUAUAUUUGUCUAGAUGUGGAUGUAUCAAAUACUAA